rnacentral:rRNA from 1 species
CAGUCGCCGCGGUAAUACGAAGGGUGCAAGCGUUAAUCGGAAUUACUGGGCGUAAAGCGUGCGUAGGCGGUGAGUUAAGUCUGCUGUGAAAUCCCCGGGCUCAACCUGGGAAUGGCAGUGGAUACUGGCUCGCUAGAGUGUGUCAGAGGAUGGUGGAAUUUCCGGUGUAGCAGUGAAAUGCGUAGAGAUCGGAAGGAACAUCUGUGGCGAAGGCGACUAUCUGGGCCAACACUGACACUGAGGCACGAAAGCGUGGGGAGCAAACAGGAUUAGAUACCCCUGUAGUCCCUGUCUCUUAUAC